rnacentral:rRNA from 1 species
AGAGUUUGAUCAUGGCUCAGAUUGAACGCUGGCGGCGUGCUUAACACAUGCAAGUCGAGCGGUAACAGGUGUAGCAAUACAUGCUGACGAGCGGCGAACGGGUGAGUAAUGCUUCGGAAUCUACCUAGUAGUGGGGAACAACUAACCGAAAGGUUAGCUAAUGCCGCAUACGACCUAUGGGUGAAAGCGGGGGAUCGUAAGACCUCGCGCUAUUGGAUGAGCCGAAGUCGGAUUAGCUAGUUGGUAGGGUAACGGCCUACCAAGGCGACAAUCCGUAGCUGGUCUGAGAGGACGACCAGCCACACUGGGACUGAGACACGGCCCAGACUCCUACGGGAGGCAGCAGUGGGGAAUAUUGGACAAUGGGGGAAACCCUGAUCCAGCGACGCCGCGUGUGUGAAGAAGGCCUGCGGGUUGUAAAGCACUUUUAGUGGGGAUGAAAAGUCCAGGGCUAAUACCCUUGGAUCUUGACCUAACCCAAAGAAAAAGCACCGGCUAACUCUGUGCCAGCAGCCGCGGUAAUACAGAGGGUGCGAGCGUUAAUCGGAAUUACUGGGCGUAAAGCGUGCGUAGACGGUUCCGUAAGUCGGAUGUGAAAUCCCCGGGCUCAACCUGGGAAUUGCAUUCGAGACUGCGAGGCUAGGGUGCGGAAGAGGGAAGCGGAAUUUCCGGUGUAGCGGUGAAAUGCGUAGAUAUCGGAAGGAACAUCAGUGGCGAAGGCGGCUUCCUGGUCCAGCACCGACGUUCAGGCACGAAAGCGUGGGGAGCAAACAGGAUUAGAUACCCUAGUAGUCC